rnacentral:rRNA from 1 species
UACGUAGGGGGCAAGCGUUGUCCGGAAUCAUUGGGCGUAAAGAGCGUGUAGGCGGCCCGGUAGGUCCGCUGUGAAAGUCCAGGGCUCAACCCUGGGAUGCCGGUGGAUACUGUCGGGCUCGAGUCCGGAAGAGGCGAGUGGAAUUCCUGGUGUAGCGGUGAAAUGCGCAGAUAUCAGGAGGAACACCAAUGGCGAAGGCAGCUCGCUGGGACGUGACUGACGCUGAGACGCGAAAGCGUGGGGAGCAAACAGG